CAGAAAUUCCCUGUGGCUGGGGCAGCUCCAUAUGUUCCCAUCCAACAGUUCAGGACACCUUGCCAUGGCAUUGCUCCUCCAGUGACAAUAAGAACCACUGUGCCUGUUUUCUCUGCGCCUCCGCGUCCAGCACCAUCUGCAGUAUCCCCUCAGCCACCAGCAUCUGCAGUUCCUACUCAGCAAGGACAGUCCGGUCCUUCCUCCCAGCCACCACAAUGUGCAGCUUCUCCUCUGCAGCCACCAUCUACAGUUCCACCCCAAUUGCUACGUAUCCCUCCACCUGUCACUAUUAGGCAAGCAAUUCCAGUAUUUGCUUCUCCACCAGUACGAAAACAAGAUAAUCCACCAGUUAUAAACGAAGACACCACAACUGCCACUAAAUCACAUGCUCAAGUAGAGGA
rnacentral:lncRNA from 1 species